GGUCGUUUAAUUGCAUCCACGUUUCCUUCACUUGCUUCCCUUCCUCGUAGUCUUAGUCCGUCAAACCGAGGAAGCAUGGGAGAGCCGCGAGGAGAGAGGAAACCUAUGUUGUGUGUUUUUCUCUGAA